UCUCUCACACACACACACAGGUUUCUCUUCUAACAGGCCUGGAUGAAUCUCGGGAUUGGAAUAAUGUAGCUGUUGACACUUCAUUCUCCUUUGGUACACUAAGAACUACAACAUCAAACAUGAUGGAGCAAAUUCACCAGAAAUUAGAAAAUCUCUCUUCCGUUGAACUCAAGAGGAUCCCCACAUUUGCAGAGUCUACAGAUUUCCAGUUUUCUAAAACAAAAUGUGGCAAAUGAAAAGAGCAGCAACAUCUCUCUGUGAUGCAUGCAGAAGCCACAAUAAACCUUGCUAGGUUCCUUAAUUUAUCAGUAACACUCUACUACUAUGUUUUCAUGCUUUUAUCUUGUAGUGUUUUUUGUAUUAUUGUCUUUACACUUGUUAAAGUACUUUGUAACUUGUUUUUUUAAAAAGUGCUCUACAAAUAAGGAUUAU